AAGAAGAUGGCUGAGAGGGUUUUAAAGCGAUAACUUGCUAAGUUGUUACCAAGUCAGUAGUUUACUAUUAUAUGGUUCAUGGGUUCGAUUCCCAUUCUUCUUA
rnacentral:tRNA from 1 species